rnacentral:rRNA from 1 species
UAGGGAAUCUUCCACAAUGGACGCAAGUCUGAUGGAGCAACGCCGCGUGAGUGAAGAAGGUCUUCGGAUCGUAAAGCUCUGUUGUUGGUGAAGAAGGAUAGAGGCAGUAACUGGUCUUUAUUUGACGGUAAUCAACCAGAAAGUCACGGCUAACUACGUGCCAGCAGCCGCGGUAAUACGUAGGUGGCAAGCGUUGUCCGGAUUUAUUGGGCGUAAAGCGAGCGCAGGCGGAAUGAUAAGUCUGAUGUGAAAGCCCACGGCUCAACCGUGGAACUGCAUCGGAAACUGUCAUUCUUGAGUGCAGAAGAGGAGAGUGGAACUCCAUGUGUAGCGGUGGAAUGCGUAGAUAUAUGGAAGAACACCAGUGGCGAAGGCGGCUCUCUGGUCUGCAAACUGACGCUGAGGCUCGAAAGCAUGGGUAGCGAACAGGAUUAGAUACCCUGGUAGUCCAUGCCGUAAACGAUGAGCGCUAGGUGUUGGGGACUUUCCGGUCCUCAGUGCCGCAGCAAAUCGCAUUAAGCGCUCCGCCUGGGGAGUACGACCGCAAGGUUGAAAC